UGUGAGUUGUGAAGAGUGAGGAAGGAGCAUAAUAACGAUGCAGUGAAAAUAUCAAUUAUCAAGUGCAGAGUGAAAUGGGGGAGCUUUAUGCUUUGGACUUCGAUGGAAUCCUCUGUGAUAGCUGCGGUGAGAGCUCUCUCUCUCUGCUCUCAAGGCUGCGAAAGUGAGAUGGCCUUCUUUGUUUCAUGGCGUGGAUUCGGCCACUCAGGAUUGGAUUGUUGACCAGAUGCAUUCAUUGUCUGUGUUAUAGGUCCGACCGGUUGUAGAAACUGGAUAUGAAAAUGUUUUACUUGUGAGAUUGUUGUUAGAGACCAGAAUACCUUCCAUCAGGAAGUCUUCAGUUGCAGAGGGGCUCACGGUUGAGGGUAUAUUGGAAAAUUGGUCCAAGUUGAAGCCUGUUAUCAUGGAAGAGUGGAGUGAGAAUAGAGAAACUUUGAUAGAUCUUUUUGGAAAGGUUAGAGAUGAAUGGUUGGAGCAGGAUUUCGCUACUUGGAUCGGUGCAAAUAGAUUCUAUCCUGGUGUUUCUGAUGCAUUAAAAUUUGCAAGCUCGAGAGUGUACAUUGUCACCACGAAACAGGUCAGCGUCCAACCUUCUUUUUGACCCUAGCUAGGGGAUGAUAAUCCUGUCAACAGAAACUUUUGUCUAAGUAUUAAUGAAAAAUACUCCAUUCCAUAAUAUUUUUACUUUCGAAAGUCAAUGUAUCUUGAUAUAAAUUGCAAGUAAAUAUAUAAAAUUUUUUUAAUGCACCGAAUUUCAAGGUGACAAUUAUUUUGGAAUGAAAGAGUAAGAGAGAAAGGAAGAUAAUGUUGUCCUAAUACGACUUAUGCACCUUUUGCAAUUUUACAUCAUGUCCCCUGUUCAUUUUGUAUCUUUAUCAUUUCUUUUGUAAUUUUAGAGCCGUUUUGCUGAUGCUUUACUCCGAGAGAUUGCUG